rnacentral:rRNA from 1 species
AAUGGAGAGUUUGAUCCUGGCUCAGGAUGAACGCUGGCGGCGUGCCUAAUACAUGCAAGUCGAACGCGGGCACUUGUGCCCGAGUGGCGAACGGGUGAGUAAUACAUAAGUAACCUGGCCUUUACAGGGGGAUAACUGCUGGAAACGGUAGCUAAGACCGCAUAGGUAGGGACACUGCAUGGUGACCGUAUUAAAAGUGCUGCAAGGCACUGGUAGAGGAUGGACUUAUGGCGCAUUAGCUGGUUGGUGAGGUAACGGCUCACCAAGGCGACGAUGCGUAGCCGACCUGAGAGGGUGACCGGCCACACUGGGACUGAGACACGGCCCAGACUCCUACGGGAGGCAGCAGUAGGGAAUUUUCGGCAAUGGGGGGAACCCUGACCGAGCAACGCCGCGUGAAGGAAGAAGGAAUUCGUUCUGUAAACUUCUGUUAUAAAGGAAGAAAGGCGGAUGGAGGAAAUGACAUCCGAGUGACGGUACUUUAUGAGAAAGCCACGGCUAACUACGUGCCAGCAGCCGCGGUAAUACGUAGGUGGCAAGCGUUAUCCGGAAUUAUUGGGCGUAAAGAGGGAGCAGGCGGCAGCAAAGGUCUGUGGUGAAAGACUGAAGCUUAACUUCAGUAAGCCAUAGAAACCAGGCAGCUAGAGUGCAGGAGAGGAUCGUGGAAUUCCAUGUGUAGCGGUGAAAUGCRUAGAUAUAUGGAGGAACACCAGUGGCGAAGGCGACGAUCUGGCCUGUAACUGACGCUCAGUCCCGAAAGCGUGGGGAGCAAAUAGGAUUAGAUACCCUAGUAGUCCACGCCGUAAACGAUGAGUACUAAGUGUUGGAAGUCAAAUUUCAGUGCUGCAGUUAACGCAGUAAGUACUCCGCCUGAGUAGUACGUUCGCAAGAAUGAAACUCAAAGGAAUUGACGGGGGCCCGCACAAGCGGUGGAGCAUGUGGUUUAAUUCGAAGCAACGCGAAGAACCUUACCAGGUCUUGACAUACUCAUAAAGGAUCCAGAGAUGGAUAGAUAGUUAUAUGAGAUACAGGUGGUGCAUGGUYGUCGUCAGCUCGUGUCGUGAGAUGUUGGGUUAAGUCCCGCAACGAGCGCAACCCUURUYRYUAGUURCCAKCAUUAAGUUGGGSACUCUAGYGAGACUGCCAGUGACAARCYGGAGGAAGGYGGGGAYGACGUCAAAUCAUCAUGCCCCUUAUGACCUGGGCUACACACGUGCUACAAUGGAUGGUGCAGAGGGAAGCGAAGCCGCGAGGCGAAGCAAAACCCAUAAAACCAUUCUCAGUUCGGAUUGUAGUCUGCAACUCGACUACAUGAAGUUGGAAUCGCUAGUAAUCGCGAAUCAGCAUGUCGCGGUGAAUACGUUCUCGGGCCUUGUACACACCGCCCGUCACACCAUGAGAGUUGAUAACACCCGAAGCCGGUGGCCUAACCGAAAGGAAGGAGCUGUCUAAGGUGGGAUUGAUGAUUGGGGUGAAGUCGUAACAAGGUAUCCCUA